UACGUAGGGUGCGAGCGUUGUCCGGAAUCAUUGGGCGUAAAGCGCGUGUAGGCGGCUCGGUAAGUCCGCUCUGAAAGUCCAGGGCUCAACCCUGGGAUGCGGGUGGAUACCGCCGGGCUCGAGUCCGGAAGAGGCGAGUGGAAUUCCCGGUGUAGCGGUGAAAUGCGCAGAUAUCGGGAGGAACACCAAUGGCGAAGGCAGCUCGCUGGGACGUGACUGACGCUGAGACGCGAAAGCGUGGGGAGCAAACAGG
rnacentral:rRNA from 1 species